GAAUAUUGGACAAUGGGCGCAAGCCUGAUCCAGCCAUACCGCGUGGGUGAAGAAGGCCUUCGGGUUGUAAAGCCCUUUUGUUGGGAAAGAAAAGCAGCGGGCUAAUACCUUGCUGUUCUGACGGUACCCAAAGAAUAAGCACCGGCUAACUUCGUUCCAGCAGCCGCGGUAAUACGAAGGGUGCAAGCGUUACUCGGAAUUACUGGGCGUAAAGCGUGCGUAGGUGGUCGUUUAAGUCUGUUGUGAAAGCCCUGGGCUCAACCUGGGAACUGCAGUGGAAACUGGACGACUAGAGUGUGGUAGAGGGUAGCGGAAUUCCCGGUGUAGCAGUGAAAUGCGUAGAGAUCGGGAGGAACAUCCAUGGCGAAGGCAGCUACCUGGACCAACACUGACACUGAGGCACGAAAGCGUGGGGAGCAAACAGGA
rnacentral:rRNA from 1 species